UCGUAGUCUUGAUUCUGAAUAUACUGCUCCUCUUGUUGCAUAUCACGUUUGGCCUGCCCUCAUGGAAGGAGAUGUGAUCAUAGUAAAGGGGGAAGCUGUAACAAAGAGGAGGACUGUGGUGUCUCCAAGAAGGAAUCGCAACAGAAGACGCAGUGAUGGGUCAGUUCGUUCACGGACAAGCAGUCCGAACCAUGGACCUUUACAGGAAUGUUAACGUAACAGUCAGUCUUUUUUUUACAAAGUAUACUAAACUCUCCGUGAAGACACCCAGUGAGGGCAACUGACUCUGCUUUUUCCACGCCAAGUCCUAUAAAGCCUGUCGCCCUGGAACGAGGUAUCUCAUUUUGAGUCAAGCCUGAUAAAGGACAGAACUCCUAGUAGAGAGUGGAUCCGCUCAGCCGAGCAGCAGUAUUCAGUUAAAUUGAAGACUACAGCCUCUGUUUACUUUUUGCAGUG